CCUACGGGGGGCAGCAGUGGGGAAUAUUGCACAAUGGGGGAAACCCUGAUGCAGCAACGUCGCGUGAAGGAAGACGGUUUUCGGAUUGUAAACUUCUGUUUUUAGUGAAGAACAAUGACGGUAGCUAAGGAGCAAGCCACGGCUAACUACGUGCCAGCAGCCGCGGUUAUAAGGAGGGGGCCAGCGUUGUCCGGAAUUACUGGGUGUAAAGGGGGCGCAGGCGGGAAGCCAAGUCAGGUGUGAAAACUACGGGCUUAAAUUGUAGACUGCAGUUGAAACUGGUUUUCGUGAGUGAAGUAGAGGUUGGCGGAAUUCCGAGGGUAGCGGUGAAAUGCGUAGAUAGUCGGAGGAACACCGGUGGCGAAGGCGGCCAACUGGGCUUUAACUGACGCUGAGGCUCGAAAGUGUGGGGAGCAAACAGGAUUAGAUACCCGGGUAGGC
rnacentral:rRNA from 1 species